AGCUUUUUAGUUUAUAUAAAAUUUUUAUUUGUGGGAUAAAAGAAGGAGGGAGCUA
rnacentral:tRNA from 1 species